rnacentral:rRNA from 1 species
ACGCUCGACACCUACGGGAGGCAGCAGUGGGGAAUAUUGCACAAUGGGGGAAACCCUGAUGCAGCGACGCCGCGUGAGUGAAGAAGUAUUUCGGUAUGUAAAGCUCUAUCAGCAGGGAAGAGAAUGACGGUACCUGACUAAGAAGCCCCGGCUAACUACGUGCCACAGCCGCGGUAAUCUGAGCGGGCUGGCAAGGC